AUAAUCUGAUUGCUGCCUUUUUCCUCUGUAACUGUUCUUUUCUGUUUUUUGAUUGCGUUACACUGUUGCACUGCAUUACCAGCCAGUGCUGGACAUUAAACUCAUGUUACAUUAAUGUGGCGCUAAAAUUACGCUAACAUUGUACUAAUGUUAUGCUAGCGUUAUUUUAACAUUUCAUAUUUAAACACAUUGUACUGCGCGAGUUUCUGAAGCUUCGGAACUCUUCGCCAUCGCCAUGACAAUAUGGCCGUAGCUUCAGCUAGCGUUCCGUGGUGACAUCAUCAGCCCACAGUAUCUAAGGACUCGUCACUCAGUAUUCAAAUCAGAGAGUGUGACUCUUCUUCUAUAGACACACAUCAGAUCUAUUUCUGAGAACUAAAGAUGGAUUUUGGAAAAGAGGAGAAGUUUCGUCUCCCAGAAAUUGUGCCCUGGGUCCACGGACUUCCUCUAAUGAGGCACAAGACUAAAGCUCCACAUUGGUCCCUGGGGCAUCUACACAUGCCCAGUCCACCACCAGCAAAACCUGCUGUCAAAAACACCGGCAGCAGGUUUCCUCCAAUCAAAGGGCUGGAGCCAAAAUGGAGCGGAGCUAUGGAGAACUCCUCCUUUAGAGAAGAGUUUACUUCAAGGCCCCUCCAUUUCCAGCCAACUCCUCCACCUGAGCCUCUGCCUUUCACUGCUACCCAACCAGUGGUGGUAAAUAAACCAACGGCCUACAAUUCACCAGGUAAGUUCCAGUUUUGAGUGUUGAGCGUCUUUAACCACUUACUAAUUAAUCCCUUACUACUUAAUCCCUUACUACACCUUACAUAUACCAUUUAUUGUUGAUAUAAUCACAGGUAGCAGGAUACCAAGUCUGGACAGGCGGAGGAAGCUGAGGCCAGUCCAAGCUGUGGUGCAGCCCAUUAAGAACAUGGCUACCCCCAGUGUGAUAAAGGACGAACCAGCCCAGGUGGA
rnacentral:lncRNA from 1 species